CCUCAAGUGAUGUGUGACUAC
rnacentral:rRNA from 1 species